UCCUAGGAUGGAAAGAAAAGUAUUUCAAUAUUUGAUUUAAAAAUUAAAAUAAAAAUUACCACCAAACACUCUUAAUUUAGAAUAGUUAGAUUAAAAUCUGACAAAAAUUAUAUUAUUUCCGAAUAGUCCAAAGCUAACGUGAAAUUUGUGGUCGGAAUUAAAUACCAUACCAGGAUUUCCGGGAUGACAAGGGCAUGCGCGGAUAGAGAAUGUUCUCCAGAUAUAGACUGGCCAUUUGUCAGCAACCGUUUUGUUUUUAUAAUACAAUAGAAUUGAGCAAAAAGUUCAAUAUUGAAUAUAAGCUAUUUUUGCACCAUUUAAUGUGAAAUAAAUGUUUACAAACGAAUUAGUGAAGUGUUAGUGGAUAUAAAAGUGAAAAAUCCAUCUUAAUAUACUUAAAACAGUUGAAACUUUCAGCUUUGAUCGCAAAUAUCUCGAAAAUCCCAAAAUCCUGGAAUGGUAUUGUGGUUUUCCGAAAUUUGUUCACAGAAAAUUAUUUCAAUCGCUGUUUUUCGUUUUGCACAAAAUUCGUUAAAUCCGCUAAGCGGGAAAAUCUCUACCUUUCGCAAAGCUAAUAACAUUAAAAGAAUUAAAUUUUAUAUUUUAGCAGUUGUGACUUAAAACUAAACUUUGCAAACUUAAACUAUUUUUGGAUAAUUUUUUUAAAGAGUCUUGUACCGAAAAAUAUCCUCUACCGGUUAAUAUCCCAACAGUGCUAACAGAAAUUUUCGUUAAGGUUUCUUAAAGCCAAAUUGACUAUUCUACCCGAAACACUUCUGUACGUGUGAUCUUUCAUCUCUUUCCUACGCAAAGGCUUUAUGAGUUGAACGACGUGAACUGAGCUGCUCUUCGCAACUAGUGCUGCCAAACUGUCAUAUUCGUCAAAAAUUGUCGAAAGUUGACAACACCUCUUUCUUUUGCUUCCGGCUGUCAUUUUAUGCGGUUGCUACACGUGAAUUUUUCGCGAAAAAUAUAAAAUUUUUAUAAAUAACCAUGGAUAAACCAGUUGUUUGGGCACGCGUCAUGAAAGUAUUGGGCCGUACCGGUUCCCAGGGACAGUGUACACAGGUGAAAGUGGAAUUCAUCGGCGAACAAAAUCGUCAAAUUAUCCGCAACGUUAAGGGACCUGUCCGUGAAGGUGAUAUUCUUACCCUGCUAGAAUCUGAACGUGAAGCUAGAAGACUUCGCUAAAUAGCCAGACGUUGGGUGAAAGGCCUGUUUAUCCGUUUUGCGUGAUAUGAUACUAUGCUACUUUGAUUAAUCGAAUAGUGAUUACUAACAAGCGGAACAAUAAAUAAACAAGUUUUUGAGUAGUAAAAACGUA